rnacentral:rRNA from 1 species
GAUGAACGCUGGCGGCGUGCCUAAUACAUGCAAGUCGAGCGAAUGGAUUAAGAGCUUGCUCUUAUGAAGUUAGCGGCGGACGGGUGAGUAACACGUGGGUAACCUGCCCAUAAGACUGGGAUAACUCCGGGAAACCGGGGCUAAUACCGGAUAACAUUUUGAACCGCAUGGUUCGAAAUUGAAAGGCGGCUUCGGCUGUCACUUAUGGAUGGACCCGCGUCGCAUUAGCUAGUUGGUGAGGUAACGGCUCACCAAGGCAACGAUGCGUAGCCGCCCGGAGAGGGUGAUCGGCCACACUGGGACUGAGACACGGCCCAGACGCGUACGGGAGGCAGCAGUAGGGAAUCUUCCGCAAUGGACGAAAGUCUGACGGAGCAACGCCGCGUGAGUGAUGAAGGCUUUCGGGUCGUAAAACUCUGUUGUUAGGGAAGAACAAGUGCUAGUUGAAUAAGCUGGCACCUUGACGGUACCUAACCAGAAAGCCACGGCUAACUACGUGCCAGCCGCCGCUGUAA